ACUGGAAAGGAAACGGCAUUACGACGGCAAGUUCUUUGUCUGGACAUCGAUGACGUGACGUCGACUCGACAACAGCUCGACAAAUAAUAAUAAAAAAAAGUAUCGGUUAAUUUUGAACAUUGAGUAACAAUCUGGUUCUUUACUCUGUUAGAAAAUGGACGAGAGUUUUAAAGAUAGAUUGGAGGUGGCCAUACACUCGAAACUUGAUUCACUUUCAACAAACUGCCAGUUUGCAGCGAGUUCGAGGCUGGCUAACAAUGAGUUCCCCAACAACUGUGAAGACAUGCCUGUACCUAUCUCCCUUGAAAAGCUGAAAAAGCUAACGCGUGCAAUUUCUAAUGGAAGUAAUAAACCGGACCAAACAGACAGAUCCAAACACUUGUUGAAGUCUAAGAAAUUGUGGCAAAUUAGUGGACAAGAAUUGUUAACAGAACAUGGAUUCACUGCUCUUGCUGAACAGUAUUCUGAGACUUUGCCAGCAUUAACCAACAAAAUGUUACGUCUAAUGGGUCUGGACCCUUUAGCAUUCAAAGUGAAAUCAACCUUACAUUGUGUCAGCAUUUGUGGAACUGGUCACUCACACGACAACUGGUCAGGUUUGCCUUUGUUCACCUUUGUUGAAGACGAAGCUAAAGCACCAUUCAUAAAAAUGGUAUUACAAAUCCCAGUUGAAGGUGGCCACGAAGGAGGUCGAAGUAAAGUGGAACUCGAUGGUCAAAUUCGUUUGUUUGAUGUUUGCGAUGGAAGUGAUCGUGAUUACCACCUGACUACUUUUUACUCGGAUUGCCAUCACAUGUUCGACGAGGUCAAGUUUGGCUACCGAUUGACCAUGCAAUUCGAGUUGGAACUCGAAACAACCCCUCUCCUAUCCUCCCUAUCGACGUCUGCGGAUCUCAAAACCUUUCUAGCCGUCAACUACGUUCAAAAGACUCUUGCCCACUGGGCCCGAUAUGAGAAUAACCAGCCUAACAUGCUGGUCCUACUCCUCGAGCAUCGCUACGCCCCGUCUGAGCUCAAUUUUGGCCGCCUGAAAGGUAAAGAUCGCCUUCUGGCUCGGCUCCUUCUCUCCGUUGGCACUGUCGACAUGUAUCUGGCCCAAUUACGGAAAACUGUCUUCGGACCGUAUAACAAGACUCUCUCGGAAGAGGAGAGCGUGGAAACCGACGAGGAGAAUUCGGAGACGGAGCGUCCCAUUGCCAACUGUUUGUGCUGCGUACAAAAACGUUGCAAAUGUCUACGGCCAGAAACACAAACAAUCUCUGACGUUGUCUACCCCGAAAUUGGAGUCCUUGUCGAGAUUGCGAGCCUGACCUGUUUCGACGGUCGAAUCGUCGAAUGCAGACCACCAUUAAAGGUCGAUAUCGAUGCGAAUGUCAUCCCUUUUAAUCACAGUCUCUACACGCUCGAGCCUGAAGGGCCUCUCCUGGAUUCUGAUUUCAUGGAAAUGAGUAGCGACUUCUACGGCCCGAGUAACUUGCGCAAUGUAUUCCGUCCUCGAUCUGUGCUUGUGAUUAGCACCAAAAAUUCCUUGGAGCUGAUGCUCAGUUGCAAUUUCACUGCUGUGCUGGACAAACUGGAGGCCAACCCGUACAUCAGUGACUUGAAUCGAGUGAUAACAUUCUGCCAGGAUUUUCCAGAGAAAGUUUGGCUGGAGGCCGUCGACCGAGAAGAGAGAACACGGCGUCUGGUGUCCAUCUGCCUUCAACUCGAUACCGAAUACAACAAUCUGAAGUUACUACAUUUGCUGUCCGACAACUUCUCCGGACAUCCUAUCCAGUAUGAAGGGUUGAGGAGCAAAGCGAUUGCCAUCGGAGUGGCCCGUCUGAUUAAAAAGGUUGGAGUGACCGUUUCGGAUUUUAUGAGCCAUCUCGUCUGUGAGCAUCGGGCCUUGGAGCAAAUUGAAAAUUUCGCCCACUUGGUCAUGGAACUUUAUAACGUUGACUUGAAAGACGUUGCAGAAAACAUCGGCAGCAAAUGUGUAACUUUUCUCUACUCCAAGUCUAAAAAUUUGAUGCCCAGCCUGUCCGUCUCCACCCUCGUCACCUGUGCCGCCAUGGUCUUCCGCAUGUACGAGGAGAAUCCCCGGGUCAGAGGCUUGGUUCCGCUGCAUACAUUGAUUACAUUCGGCGAUGGCCUCGAGUUGCUUCCUCUGCCUAUGCUCUUCUCUGUCAUCGAGGGAAUCCAGACGACUUGCCGAUCCCAACUUGACAACAUCCAACAAUGCCAGAGAAUGCAACAGUGUCUGCACAGGAAGCUGCUCUCCUACUUUCUCCCGGAAGCUUUGGCUGAAGAGGUCACGCUAUUUUACCUCAAACAGGACGACGCCAUAUUACUCAAGAAAUUUACUCAAGAACUUGUCAACCAGAGCAACUUUGACGCCAUCAAAAUGAUUGUUGCUUCUGCCGACGUCUGGUACCAGGCCUUGACCACCAUGGGCGGGAAAUGGGCGCUCAACUUGCUGGUCUCUACUCGCAUCAAUCAUCUCGAGGGGAUGCGCCUGCCCGUGUUCAGCUGGAUCCAGGGCACCGCCGUUUUCGAUGAUGUCCCGCCGUUGAAGAAGUUUUUUCAUUCCUCUGAGGCCAGAGCAACUUUCCCCGGAUUCCACAGCCAACAAGCGGCGGAGACUUGGUGCGAGAAAUACUUUGGUCCCGAUCAGCUGAACCACGGAUUCAGCGCCAAAACGGAAAUCAAAGGAGAAAGUGCGAAAUAUCAAUGCGUCGUCACCAAAACUCGCAAAUUGCAUUGUUAUCACGUCGAGUUGUUUCACGAAUCGCGUUCCGAAUUACUGGAGCUUAAGGAUCGACGACUCCGCCUACUCCCGUUGGAAGAAUGCGAAUCCAAAGUCAUCAAUGGCAUCACAACAUCUCAGCAGAACGAUCCAGUUUCAUCUGAAUCUACUUCCUGCGUCUCAUCUCGUCCAUCUGCCAAACGAAUCCGCCGUAGUGACAGCAUUCAGAAAUGAAUUCAAAUUUCUUCUUCUUAUCUCGUCAAUUCGAAUCGGUCUAUGUCGCCGAGUGUGGUUGUUGGAUGUAGCGAUAUACAAGAUGAAAUGUCAAGAAAACCAGCUGAGCGCUUAAGGGUGUGGACAAAUGGACAUCACUCACACAGUAGGAACGUGACUGCUCUGUUGGCUACUAAUCUGUCAAUCACUACUCCGCGUUGUGUUUUCGAACGCCGGGAUUAUCUGGGAUGAUAAGAAGUUUCAUUGCGGCAAAAGGAUGUUAUCUGGAUCUUGUGCAUACCGAGCCACUGAUGUUAAUGGGCUAAUCAGCUUCUCGAUAAGUCAACCAAUUUCUUUCUUUUUUAAAUUUUUUUGAAAACACUUAAUAUUGUCGAUUGGUUUGCUUAAAUGUAAGUAUCGAAUUCUAUAUAUGAUUUUUGAUUUUAGAUUUUAGAUAUUAACAUUGGAAUUGGAAAUCAUGUGUGAUGUUAACAAACAACAACUUUCUUACGUACGCCAAAGAUUCUCUACUACGCCUGCAUUAUUCCGGAAUAUCAAUCAUAUAAGAUGCAUCCGAUGAUCAGGAUCAACACGAUCAGAGCAACAAGACUACAGGUAAUGUACAACAAAAGUUUAGUGUUUGUGUCGUUAUUAGUCGUUGAAAUUGUUGCAGUUGGAGUAGUUGUCGUCAGGGCUUCAGUGGUCGGAACUUCAGUCGUUGGGGUUUCUUUCGUUGGCAUUUCAGUGGUAAGAAUUAAGAAAUUGUUUGGUGCGAAUGAAUUCCCCUUCUUCCCACGUGUUAUUAUUGUCUGUAUUCAGCCAUGAGAUCAUCAAUCAUCUAUCAAUAAUUGAAUAAUGCGGAAUAAUGCUACUGAUCGCACACGCUACACUUUUAUUGUUGAUGUUGGACAGGUGCUAAUUUCCGUCGCUGUUG
rnacentral:misc_RNA from 1 species